AUUGAACGCUGGCGGCAUGCCUUACACAUGCAAGUCGAACGGCAGCACGGGGGCAACCCUGGUGGCGAGUGGCGAACGGGUGAGUAAUGCAUCGGAACGUGCCCAGUAGUGGGGGAUAACUAGUCGAAAGAUUAGCUAAUACCGCAUACGACCUACGGGUGAAAGCGGGGGAUUCGCAAGAACCUCGCGCUAUCGGAGCGGCCGAUGUCUGAUUAGCUAGUUGGGCGGGGAAAAGCCCACCAAGGCUUCGAUCAGUAGCUGGUCUGAGAGGACGACCAGCCACACUGGGACUGAGACACGGCCAGACUCCUACGGGAGGCAGCAGUGGGGAAUUUUGGACAAUGGGCGCAAGCCUGAUCCAGCCAUGCCGCGUGCGGGAAGAAGG
rnacentral:rRNA from 1 species